GCUUGUCUCAAAGAUUAAGCCAUGCAUGUCUUAGUGUAAAUAACUCUUAUGAAACUGCGAAUGGCUCAUUAAAUCAGUUAUCGUUUAUUUGAUGGUCCCUUACUACAUGGAUAACCGUAGUAAUUCUAGAGCUAAUACAUGCACAAAGGCCCGACUCACGAAGGGCUGUAUUUAUUAGAUUUAAAGCCGACAUCUUUUGGUGAUUCAUAAUAACCGAACGAAUCGUAUGGCAUCAGCUGGCGAUGAAUCAUUCAAGUUUCUGACCUAUCAGCUUCCGACGGUAGGGUAUUGGCCUACCGUGGCAAUGACGGGUAACGGAGAAUUAGGGUUCGAUUCCGGAGAGGGAGCCUGAGAAACGGCUACCACAUCUAAGGAAGGCAGCAGG
rnacentral:rRNA from 1 species